GAUGAACGCUGGCGGCGUGCCUAAUACAUGCAAGUCGAGCGAACAGACGAGGAGCUUGCUCCUCUGACGUUAGCGGCGGACGGGUGAGUAACACGUGGAUAACCUACCUAUAAGACUGGGAUAACUUCGGGAAACCGGUGCUAAUACCGGAUAACAUGUUGAACCGCAUGGUUCAACAGUGAAAGACGGUCUUGCUGUCACUUAUAGAUGGAUCCGCGCCGCAUUAGCUAGUUGGUAAGGUAACGGCUUACCAAGGCAACGAUGCGUAGCCGACCUGAGAGGGUGAUCGGCCACACUGGAACUGAGACACGGUCCAGACUCCUACGGGAGGCAGCAGUAGGGAAUCUUCCGCAAUGGGCGAAAGCCUGACGGAGCAACGCCGCGUGAGUGAUGAAGGUCUUCGGAUCGUAAAACUCUGUUAUUAGGGAAGAACAAAUGUGUAAGUAACUAUGCACGUCUUGACGGUACCUAAUCAGAAAGCCACGGCUAACUACGUG
rnacentral:rRNA from 1 species